rnacentral:lncRNA from 1 species
UUCAACAAGGGCUAUUGUCUCUGCCAGCCAUGGGGUUUCAUUCAUUCCGAAGAUGUCACGGGGGGGUUUUGGAAUGUGUGUCCCUACCUUCCUGAUUUUCUGCCAUAUUCCAGCCCCCCUGGCUAAUGCAAUGUGGAGCGACAGGGGAGCACCUGGGGUCUUCACGUACCUCUCUCUUCAGGCUCUCUCCUAGCUUUGCCUGUGCGUGGAAAUGUCAACAAGGAAGAUCAAUGGAGGCAAAAAACCAGGAGAUCCCAUAAAUCCCGUUGAACCUGUCACGGCGGCCAAAUUAUGCUCUGAUAAAGCUUUUGGUGGCUAACGAUAUGGCCGUUCACCUGCAUGGAUGCGACUGGGAGGGGCCUUUCUGGAGAGCAUCCGGCCCACGGUGGAGACACUUGUCAGAGAGUGUUAUCCGAAGCCUCUUUGUCUCUAAUGAAGGGUGAGGCUUUGAACGUGAUUAUUUCUAAACAAAUAAAUAAUAAGGAUAAUUUAAAAAUAAACAAAGAUCUGGAUUUAAAGGCUACUUAUUGUCCCAGGACCAAGAUUAAUGAGUUCUGGCCAGAAGAUUUCCCAGGACCUCACAGGACUUAACACUUUCUUCAACCAGCCUUUUAAUAUCAAGUAUCAAAUAUCCACCCGUGAAUAUAUAGCGGGUGUGCCCAAUGCCCACAGGAUAAGUGAGUCAGGGCCACGUGGCUCCAUCUUUCCCGUGGAAAUACCUGGUUGGGAUAAGUCUGUGCCGGUCAUUACCCUUGCUGGAGCCCAGACAGGGUCAUCUGGCAGCAGCAGGGAGACAGCGGCGUGGAGCAGCGGGCUGGAAGCUGAGACAAGAUUCCAGCACGAGGGCGGUUUCCUGGAAGACGCCUGGUGCAGAAGCUCCGUCUCUACAUCCCAUGAGUACCUUGCAAAGCUUCCCUUUCCCUGGCCUUGACCUACAGGAGCUUUGAAAAGAGGCUUACCUUUUUAAGAUUUUUUCCCCGUCCUGUUCUAUCAAAAUAACGUACACACACAGCAACAAAUAAGUAGAAAAGAGAUAAUGUUCAAAAGCAACCUUCUCCCCCGACACCUCCCAGCCCUCCCCCUAGAGUGACUUUACCUGUUCCUUGUUUUAAUUCUUCCAGAGUUUCCCCCCACCGUGCUGCUCUAGGAUUACGCCCCUACUGCUGGAUUUGUCAAUUUGACUUUAUCUUUUUGAUAUCAAUUUAUCUUUUGACUCCUAAUGGGGAAGAUGAGGUUGAGCUCACCUAACU